AGGAUAGUAGUUAAAAAUAACAUCUAAUUUGCAAUUAGAAAGAGCUUGACUAAAGCCUAUCUUA
rnacentral:tRNA from 1 species